rnacentral:lncRNA from 1 species
UUUCCUUUUUUUUUUUUUUUUUUUUUUUUUUUUUGGGGUGGAACUAUCUUAAAUUCUUAAGUAAAAGGGAAAAGGUAAUGAAGUAAGAUUGACAAUGUUGGUCAUUUUUGUAUGACGACCGCGCAAUGCUCUGGCCCAGCUUAUACAACAUCCUUCAUGGCCUACUCUUUUAAGUUUUUAGUUAUCAUCCUCAAUUAUCUCGAGAAGCUUCGGGUUGUACUAGAUUCUGUUGACUACUUAUUAUUUUAUUUUUGGGAAAAAUAGAAGAAUUCCAUUGGUUCAGAUUGAGAACAUGCCUGACUACAUACUUGUCCUAUUUCAUUUUCGUCACUCACAAAUUACUUUAAUGUGUCGCUUUUAAAUAUUUUUUUAAUAUUUCGAGGGUCUUCACAGUUCUUAAAAUAUCUAUUCGUGCUUAUUUAUCUUUUUAAAGUAAGCUAUAAACAUAUGCAAUUUUUUUCCAAAUAAAAAAAAAAAAAAAGAGAUAUGAAUACUUCAGAAUAUCUAUUACAAUGAAAAACAACAAAAAAUUCAACUUACUUUAGUCAAAUAGAAACAACGCCCACAAGAGCAUGCCAUUUACCAAAAAAUCAAAAUGCCCAUAAAAGCACUAUAGAAACACAAGCAUUCAUAUAAUAGCUGCUUUUGGUAUUUCAGGUGCUAGUAUUGCUGCUGCUUGAAAUGGAACGGGAGAAAUUGAUCAAGAUUGUGUUCACAUCUUCCUUUUGGUUGCAGAGUCUAUUGCACAAAAUUGUGUCUCUAUUCUAUUCAUCGUAUGAUGGAUUUGUUAUGCCAAUGUUUGUUUAGGUUUACAUUAACCUGAAGGGAUAAACAGACCAACGUGUCUAUACUCUAUAGUAAAGGAAAGCUUGAGUACUGUAGAAACACAGCUUUCCACUGAUGGUUACCCUGAUUUUUGGCACCACUACAAAUACGCAAGAAUUCUAGAUAGUUUUGUCUGGAAAAAUUUCAUCUUAUGUGUUUUUCAUUCUGUGGGAGAAAACCCACAAACAUAUACUCCCUCCCUUUUUUAUAACUGACGUUUAAGGUUUUGCACAUCAAUUAAGAAAAGUUUUUCAUUGUUUAAAUCUAUACACUACUUUCCUUUUGUACCCUCAUUAAUUAUCCAAUUCACCCAUGUUUUCUCUCACUAGAGUACUAAAUGGUGUUGUUUUACUAGGCCAAAAGCAAUGCAAACUAACUAGGAGUAGUAAUUAAGAACCCUGUAUUGGAAAAGAGAGAUAAAAGGGUAAAAUUGUGAAAAAAUAAUUAAUACUGCAUGGGGAUAGUAAAACGACAGAUAAAAGUACUUAAGAGCAAAUUUCUUAAACGUCAGUUAUAAAAAAAGGAAGGGAGUAGCUCAUAAUGUUGUUCUGAUUCACGGACCCCAAUAUAUAUAUAUUUGGCAAUUUUUGAUUGGGUGGCGCUUUUUCCGAAUGUGGUAGGAUUUGAAAUUUGUGGUUGAGUGGAUCUAUGUAGAAGUAAAUGACACCGUACAAGUACAUUUGAUUCGGCGAAUUUGGAUUAAAAAAAAAUACUCCCUCUGUUCCUUAUUAGAUGGCCUGAAUAACUAAUUCUCUUAGAUUAAGAAAGUUGGUUAUUUUCUAAAAGUCAACAAAAGUUUUACUUUACUUCUCAAAAUUACCCUUUAUCUCUCUUCAACUAUACCUAAUUAAUACUACCUGUCAUUUAAUUAUUUAGAGUUUCAAUUCAAGAAAAUUGAAAGGGUAAACAAGGGUAAAUUUGGAAAAAAGUUCAUAAAUGCUUUCUUGAUAUCAUAAAAUGACAGAUAAAAAGAAACAAUGGAUUAGGACAUCUAAUAAGGAACGGAGGGAGUAGUGAAGAAAAUUACUUGCCUCAAAAAGCUUUUUUGAAAAUUAUGUUGCAACUUUAUGCAGUUGAAAGGGGAAAGCCAUAUAGGUUGAGUGACAAGAGAGGAGGAAUAUAAGUAAGAGGUUUCGGAUUCAAAACCCCUCACUUACGCUGCUGCAAGAGGAGGGAAAGAUAAGAAAAAAAAUAAAAAAAAGGCUAUGUGCAGUUGAUGAUGUCUGUCGGAAUCAUGAAACAUAUUACUAGUAAAUUAACAAAUGGGGCUUGUAUACCCGGUCAGUCACGGCCAAGAACUUUCAACCCAUCCGAGACCGAGUUAAAACUAAUUGCAAAAGCAAUUUAUUCUUGAGCGUGCAUAAGAAAUCCAGCUACCAUUCUCACCACAUUCUAUAUACAUUCUACCUUAGUCCCGAUUGGAUAUUAAAAUUUACUACCAGUAUGAAACAAUGAAUUUGGAAAUACUAGUAGUUAAUUUAAUGGGAAGACAUUAUUGUCAAUCGGUUUGAAACAAGGCAUCAUCGAGUCACUAUCUUCCUCCAUCUUCUAAGACUAACUCAGUCUUUACUUUUAAGUCUCUCGAAAGUCUAGAUACGCUAGUUGAGUUAGGUUCGGCUUGACCUGCAUUACACAGAACAACAGCUUCAGCCCAUGUUUGUUUAAAAGUCAUCUCUCUUGCAACAAGAAUCCGUCUUAGUUUUUCUCAGAAAAGAUAAUCAUCACAGGGACUGCUAACACCACUGACGAAUCGACUUCUGAGUCACAGGAAAGACAUUCUUAAUCUGCACCUGCAAAUUAUGAUUUUCACGUGUAAUAAUCAAUUAAGACGACCAAGGACCUGGAAACCAGAAGGAAAGAGACGUGAGGGUAUGAUGUCGAAGAUGAUUUUUUUCCAGCAGAGUCACUAGUUUCUUCACACUUGGAAAUCGACCUAAAUUAGGUGACUGUAUCCGCAAAUACUGGAGCAUGAAGAUGAUACGUCACAGCAAACGGUAGAGAGAUAGAUAGAGAGAGAGAGAGAGAGAGGAUCACUCCUUCCAUCAAGAAGACAAGAAAUUCUACUAAAUCGGCAUUAGUCACUGGUUAACCUUUCAAGCAACAGUAUAGAAGACAAAAGAGUCAAGAGCUAGUGGUCUAUAUCAAGGCUUGGAAGUCUUUAUUUCUAUUACUUAAAAAAUUUUACAGUAGACUUGACUGGAUUUGGAAGUUUGACAUGCCAAUAUAUUGAUAUGUGUCAAGUUUACUGCAGGAAUAGAAGGAUCUACUCGUCGCAGUAACUGUUGCAGGAAUACAAGGAUUAUGAUUAAGAAUUUGAAAGCCCAUUCAUUCCCGCAAGUAGAUUAACAGAAUCUACCCGUUUCAAACCAUCUUUGCAGUUAAAAGACUCCAAAAAUAAAUAAAUUUGUAAAGGGGUCCCAAGCAACAUGAUACAUGCAAACAAAGAGGCACCAGCAAGUGCUGCCAAUUAAUUAAUUGAACAUCUACUGCAACCAACAAUAAGCACGAAUUGGAACUAUGUCAUAUUGAUACUGCUGCUAAUAGAGUUACCAACAAAAACAGAAUAUGAAACCUAUUUCAGUGAAGUCAUAAUAAGCAUAUAAAGGACAUCCAUGCAAAUGAAAAGGAUAACAUGAAGACAAAAUUGACAUUAAUCAAGAUCAAUGGAAUCAGGUCAUGUACCCCAAAUACCAACAUAAACAGCUCCACUUUUGCAUUUUGGCUUCUGCUCGUCUAAGCAUUGCUGAGUUGGAAGAGCCAGCUUCAAUGGUGUUUGACCUCCAAACUGCACAAUUAUCCCAUCAGGCCCCUCCAAAUCUAUUACGUUGAGAACAUCUUCAACUAACUGUCAGUGGUUCAAAAUAGGGACGAUCACUCUUUAUCAUAAUCUAUAGAUACUGUUUCAGGAUUGGAAUUCAUCAUGAUUGUUUCAUAGCCUGCAUCCUGAAAUUGAUCAACAAAAUACCAUUAAUAUGUGUAUACAUAAGAACAAAAAGGUAACUUGAAGAUUAGUACUUGCAGGUAGAAUUAAUACUAAAACAAAUUAACAAAAAGCAAUCAAAACUCAGAAUUCUAAGAUUAUGAUUGUCUUCUGCUCUAUAAUCUUUUCACUUCUUAUUUUACUGGGGAUGCAUAAGCUCUAUGCUUUCUUCUCCAUUGGUAGAUUAGUACUUCUUAAGGUGAUUAAGAUGGACGGCAAAAAAUAUGAGCUUCUUUUUUGCCCAUUUACAGCUAUGAUGCUAGCACAAUAGAUUUGGAGUGUAAAUGAUAUAUGACUGCAGUAGUUAUCAAAUUCAAUCGCUUGAUCAAUCUGAUUUGGUCCACCACCUAAAAUCAGAACCUUUUUUCUUUGGGUAGGAGCUGAUUCACAAUCAAAGUCAUAAGAUGAGUACAUGUAAGGAGUAUGAGCCUCAAAUUCGGCAGCACAUGUAUCAACUCGCUUAUGUGCUGGUUUAACACCCAAUGAUAACCGCUUUAACCAAACUUCUUUCUCUGUGAUUUUUGUAGCAAAAGCUAUCUUUUUAUCAGUGAAACCUCUCUUUUUCACUUCAUAGAGGUCAUCUUUAGUCAAGUCAGACAAUUUCUGAGACAGAAGGUAUUGUUCCACAUCUAUAAGCUCCUUCAGCUAGGUCAAGAACCACUUGUCAAUGUAACUCAGCUCACGGAUGUCAUUCACCUUCAUUCCCCUCUUCAUUGCCACAUAAAUGGUGUGGAUGCAGUCCGGACUAGGGACUCUAAGGCUGUACCUCAAGCAAUCCCAAUCCAAUUCCUUGAUUGCGCACAACCCCAACCCCACCCAGAGUAGCCACACUCAAGUGAGCAAACAACCUUCUAAAAGGAUUCUUGGAACGUCUGACCAACAGCCAUUGAUCCACCAACAGACUUCAUUUGGGUUGUCAGAAUAGGCUCUGAGCCUGGGAACUUCUCAAUUGCAAAACAGAGUAUCUGCAUGUUCAACACCAUUUUCCAGGAAAAAGAAAAAUGUCUAAUCCAUAACAAGACAUGAAAAAAGUGUAAGACAGUAAUCUGGUUAUAACUAGAACAAAGAGCAUGCCAACCUGCAGAUAGUGAAAAUAGUAUAGGCAACAUGCAGAAUGCUAUCUUGAUUCAGAGAAAAUGCCAAGGAUUAAGUCCCAGGUUGACAGUUAUAAAAUUUAUACUAUAGGAGGUAUUGAUAGGCUGCUAGACAUUCUAACCAUAUAAGAGUAAACUUUUAAUGAAUUGGCAUACUCAAGGUAAAUGCUGACUGCAAUAUUCUUCUGAUACCUGGGCCCUUAUCCAUCUCCUUUUUCUAAGUCAUACUAAUUCUUUUCCUUUUGUUGGUAGGAUUGAGGAAGUGGAGGAAGACAUGACACUCUAAAGUGGAGGAAGACAUGACACUCUUCAAGUGGAGGAAUAGAUGGCUUGUUUCCUGAUGGUAUCUACUGCAGCAACACAGAACACUUCAAAGGGAGGAUAAUGGUAGAUCAAAAUUUUAAAAAAAAAACACUCAUAAAGCCCUUGAAUUUCAUAGCCUGCAUAAAGUAAUUCAGAAAGGCUUUCAGAUGCACCCUCUAGAUCACAAUGAAAGGUGACUAUUAGCGAGCUAGGAUUAAUAGAUGUAGAUAGCUAUAUAUAGAAAUAUAUGAAGAAUAGAGGAAUAUCAACGGAAACUUAACUUGCAAACCCACGUCACUUAAAUCUAAUUUCAGCAACAUAAUUUUUCAUGCAAAACAUUUGCCACAGCUAUGGCCUUAUGAAAAUUGUGACAUGAUUCUUUGCCUGAUAACCAGAGAAGUAAAGCAGAGAUUCAUAUCCCACCUCAAUUUAGAAUGCCUAAUUUUCUUCCUUUUGCAGGGCAUUAAAGACAGAUACAAAGGCUCAUGGACAGUGGUUUUGUUUUCUUUGUUUUUGUUGGAUGAUGAUAACUAUGCAAUAUUUAGCAAAGUUCAAAUAUUUGUAGUGCCAAGGAAAAAAUUAUAGAAUGAGGAUGAAUGAUGAUAGUAACUAUCAAAUAUUUGGCAAAGUUCAAAUAUUUGUAGUGCCAAGGAAAAAAUUGUAGAAUGAGGAUGAAAGAUACUAGUUUGCAAACACUUGGUUUUGGCCAAGGAAUUUUGCUUUGAGUCUUCUCCAGAACACAACAUGCAACAUUGUAUAUGUAGAUAAAGCAAUUUUGAUCCAAUGAAAAGAAACAAGAAAAGAUCUCACACCUGUUUAAACAUGUAACAAUGUAUGUGUAGGUAAAGCAAUUUUGAUCCAGUGAAAAGAAACAAGAAAAGAUCUCACAGCCAUUCAGUUAAUGAAGUUCACACAACCUUCUUAAAGGAGCAGCUAGUAUUAAAAUAUCCAAGACUAUAAGAAGGGAUACCAAAAAACAAAGAGCACCAAGUGGUAAACUAAAAUAUGAUUUGCAUAGUAUUUAAAUAAUAAGAGAAGAAAAAGGCAGGAUUUUAAUAUAUCAAAGCAUGGCCACAGUGAUAGUUAUCUCACAACCAGCAACACUUGGAAUAUUCCAAGUAAAAUUGUAGAGACAGGUCAUAAUCUUUAGCAUUAAACAACUUAAGUUAUCACUCUCAAGUACCUUUCUCUCAUCUAUUUGGAUCAUCUAGAAGAUCAAAACUGUCUAAUAUGAUGAACUCGAAAGGAUUAAGGAUGACUGCCUUCUAAAGCACCAAUCGUUAUGUAUCGAGGUUACUGUGCUAACUAAGAAAUUUAUGAAAUGAGACCUCAUAUUCCCGUCAAGAAAACAAUGCUCAUCAAUAAGUUCACCAAAAAGCUUGUAAAAACAAAAGGCAUGGCAAUAGGAAGAGUUGUAAUAUCAACUAUUAGUUCAUGGUCACUUGAUCUCAUGACACUGCAAAUAAAUUUGAGGAAGAAAUAAAAAUAUUCAAAGAAAAAUAUAACCAAACUGCUUAUGACCGAUAAAUUUGAAUCCUUAGUAAGUCACCAAAAGUUCUGAAUCAAAUUUCAAAGAAUCUUACAAGACAACAGCAACAAUGCACUUCAAGAAGUGUAAAAGCAGAGUCAAAAUUUUGGAUAAUGGGAUGAAAACUUACCUUGGUAACCACAUAAUCUAUAUAAGGUUCAAAACUUGCGGGUAUUUUCUUAGUGAUGUCAUUAGGAAUCUGAUCCAAGGAGUAACCAACUGAUAGUUUAGCAGCAAUAUUCGCUAUGGGAAAACCAGCAGCUUUGGAAGCUAAAGCUAAAGACCUUGAGACUCAAGGAUUCAUCUCAAUCACCAUUACCUCUCCAUCUACAGAAUUGAUCGCAAACUGAACAUUUGAACCACCACAUUCAACCCCAAUUUCCCUGAUAAUAGCAAUAGUGUAAUCCCUAAGCCGCUGAUACUCUUUGUCUGUCAAAGUCUGUGCAGGAGCUACAGUGAUAGCGUCCCAGUAUGGACCCCCAUUGGGUCAAUAUUCUCAAUCGAACAGAUAAUAACCACAUUGUCUGCCAAGUCUCUUAUAACCUCAACCUCAUAUUCUUUCCAUCCCAAAAGAGAUUUCUCCACCAAAACCUGAAAAGUCAUGCUAGCUGCAAGCCCUGACUUACAUAUUGCCUCAAAUGCCUCCCUAUUAUAAGAAAUACCACCUCCAGUUCCUCCUAAUGUAAAAGCUAGCCAAAUGAUCAAUGGAAACUCCCCAAUAGAAUUUGCUAUCUCAAAACACUCCUCCAGAGUAGUUCCAAUCCCGGAAGGAGGAGUCUUUAGCCCAAUAUUUUCGAUAGAUUUUUUGAAUAAAUCUCAAAUUCUCAAUCCUCGGCCUUCUUGAUUGCUUCAAGCUUCGCCCCAAUCAACUCAAUGCCAUAUUUGUCGAGCACCCCACUUUCAGCCAAUGCCACAGCAAGGUAAAGAGCUGUCUGCCCUCCCGUAGUUGGCAAUAAAGCAUCAGGCCUCUCCUUCUCCAGCACUCGCUCAACCAGCUUCGGUGUCAUAGGUUGAAUAUAAGUCCUAUCAGCCAUCUUUUGGAUCAGUCAUUAUAGUGGCAGGAUUCGAAUUGAUGAGGAUCACCUCAUAACCCUCUUCCCUAAGCGUCUUACAAGACGGACUCCCCGAAUAAUCGAACUCACAAGCUUGCCCAAUCACAAUAGCCCUGCACCUAAAAUCAAAAUCUUCUUGAUAUUCAUCCUCUUUCCAACUUUUUGGAAACCAAAAGCCCCACCAUUCGUCGAACCAUUGCUGUCACAAACGGCAUCCUUCUCACAUCGAAUUGAGUUCACCUUCACUUUCUGGUUAAAUCUCGCAGAAUGCAGGAACAACGGACGGCAUUGAAAGUUCAAAUGUGAUAUCACACUCCUCUUGGUAGGUGGCUUGGUGGGAUUGAAGUAUAACAUAAAAAGAUUGGAUUUUGAUAAAUAAUUUUUAGUGGGGUUGAAACACUAUAUGGCUGUGAUGAUGAUGAAAUGAGCGUGGAUGAAACAUUUUCACAAUGAUUGAUACAAUAGGCCAUCUCCCACUAUCCCUCCUCCAAUCCCUCUUAAUUAUUAUUCUCCUUCAAAUUUUAGAUAAGCUGCGCAACCAGAAAACACAAAGCAACAAUAAUAUGUAUAUAUAAAUCACUUGAAAAUAAAAUUCAUGUUAAACAAAAGGAAAAUGGGCUAAAAGGCUUAAGGAGCAGAACAGAUAAUAGGCAAUUACAAAAAUAGAAAGACAACUAGCUCUGCCUUAUGCAUUUUCUUUUUUUUACUUUCCGAAUCAAAAUAUAAUAUAAUCCCUAUUUUUUGGGAGGGGAAGGUGGGGAAGGGGCUUUUCAGGGACUGCGGCAUUAGGGUUUAAAAGAAGCCACAGGCCAGCCGGAGACGACGAUUAUCCAAGUGAAGCGAGUAAGAUAUGUGUGAGUUGUCAAACUGCCGUUUGCCAAAAAAAUAAAACUAAUAACUAAUGCUAAAAAAAAGGUGGGAUUAAGUCAAUUUCUUGAGUGGAUAAAAACUGUCAAACUUGAAAUAUACGAUAAAAAUAUACAAUAAAAAGGUGUACUGUUGUAGUCUUUUUUUUUUCUGAACACAAUAAAAUCUAUUCUAAAUUUAGUUUUACAAAACCUGAAUUUUUAAAAUACAAGUUUUGCUCAAGUAAAAUUUUAAAUCUCUUUCGCGGGGGUUGUUGAUUGUGAACUGUUGUAGUCAUGCUAUGAAGCAUCAACACCUCGACCGCGACUCCGGGAGUUAAGUUGGAGUCGCCGUCAAAGGUUGGCGCUUGGCUUGACCGAUACCCAUUCUGCGCAAAAUACUUUGGACAGUAGCUAUUAGGGUUUGGAAUUAUGGUAGCUUAUUAUUGAAAGUAAAAGUAUUAAGUAUUUGAAUAUUUUGAAGUAUAUUGUUUGAAAACAUAAGAUUAAUAACUACUUAUUGUAUUAAAUAAUUUAUAACUUAAAAAAUUUUAAAUAUAUUUAUCUCUUUAUUUAGUUUAUAAUAUAGGAUAAAAUAAUUAAAUUUAAUGAUUUAUUUUAAAAUCACAAAAACUAUUCUAAAAACACUAAAUUUGAGUUUUUACUAAAAAUACUUUUAAUACCAAAAAAACUCCACUCUUAAUUUUAUAAAAUGAUAUUUACCAAAUGCCUUAUCGUGAUUCCACUCAAAAUUAUGAGGCGUCAUGUAGAUAUUUUCCACCGUAGUAAAUACUCACAAAACGAAUUGGCCAAGGUUUAAAUAUCUAAUGCAUAACAAUUUAGUCAAUUUUGUAGUUUUUUCUUUUUCUUUUUCUUUGGACAGUAGUCUAAUUUCACCAAGUAAAACAAAGACAAAUGGGAUUGGAGGAAAAAAACAAAAAAACGAAGACAAAUGGGCUCUGAGACUCAUAGAGGGCGUCUUUAUCCAUUAACUCGAGAACUACAGACACUACUGAACUUGAAUUUGACAUUUUCCCCCUACAAUUCCUUCAAUUAGCCUCUCAACUAUCAAAUUAAUCUUCAAAAUCCAUCCCUUUUGAAGGUACAUCUCCAAUGCAUACUGCCUUGUGUGAAAAAAGAAGUUUGUAAACUGCAACAAUCUUGCAUGUUUUUUUUAAAAAAAAAUGUUCCAAAUUGUGCUACCUUUCACUGCUGGGCAUUUGCUGUUUGGUGCAAUGUGCUGCUCAAAAUUUGGCCCUUUGCUCCAAGUAUUAAAACAAGACAAGAAAAGAAAACGAAAUUGUGCAUGCUCGAGCCUACAAGAGAUUUCUAGAUUACAUAGUUUGGGUUUUUUUUCAAAUACUGUUACGAUCUGUCUAUAGUAUGUGAUCAAGAUGAUGCAUUAUUGAUAAUUGGUAACCGCUCUGAAAUGGUGUAUUCCUUUGCGUAGCAGGGGGAGAAGACACAGAGAUACUACCGUUUCUUUCCGGGGGCUUCUAAGAAAAGUGUAGUGGUAACUACUAACAAGUCAGGAUUAUCACGUUAUUUACCAAUAUUUUAGGGUACUAUCCCCUCAAUUUAUUUUUAAUUUAACGGCUGAUUAUCACGUUAUUUACCAAUAUUUUAUGUUACUGCACUCUUUUUUUUUUUUUUUUGAGGACUUCAUGUCGCAUUACAAGAGAGAAGAAAGUUGAACAAAGGAUCUCACAAUGGGCCUAACUAAUUUCUACACUAUUUAAGGGUUCAUUUGGGCUUGUGAUAGUGUAUUGAAAAGCACUUUACCUAAUAGAAUUGACACUUAUUAAGUGUUCAAGUACUUUUAACAAUAUUGUUUGGAUAUAUAAUUUAAUAAUCACUUAUUUGUAUUGGAUAAUGCAUACUUUUAAAUUUUUUAAAAAUAUUUAUAUCUUUAAAAACACUAAAAUUUAGCUUUUGUUCAAAGUGCUUUUAACACCAAAAUUUUGAGAGAGGGAUGAAUUGAAUGGUACAGGAAGAAUGAAUGUCAGUGACUCGUUUUGGAUUCAAAACCUCCCACUUACACUAUAAGAAGAAAUAAAAACUUCACUCUUUAUUUUAUCAUAUAAUAUUCACCAAAUACCUCAAAAGUUAUUUUUUACCAAAUGGAAAAAAUUCACUUUUUGUCCUUAAAUUUUGAAUUAUGGACACAUUUUAUCCUCAAACUUUUAAACGCAUCACAUUUAGUACAUGAAUUAAUUAUUUUGCACCACAUUUAGUCCAAAAAGGAUAAAAUAUUCAAUUUGGACAAAGAAGCCUGACGUGGCUAUUGAUUUUGACUGAGAAAUUGUUUUUACUUAACGGCCAUGUGCCAAACAUGUGACUUUCUCUGUCCAAAUUAAGCAAUUUAUCGUUUUUUGACUAAAUAUAGCAAAAAAUAAUUAAUUCAUGUACUAAUGUGGUGCGUCUAAAAGUUUUGGGAUGAAAUGUGUCCCUGACUCAAAAUUUAGGGACAAAAAGUAGAUUUUUCCCAUUACCAAAAGCAUUGCAACUCUAAAUGAGGCAUAAGUUGGGUGUUGAAUACUGGGUACUAAGAACUUAGAACUUAUUUGAUAAUGCAAUUCAACACUUUAAAUUUAAUGGAUUCAGAUAUUAAUAUGUUCAAAUGUAUUUGAUAAUAAAAUUUAGAACAUCUUAAUUAAUUAAGUGAUUCUGAAUUAUUUAAGCAAAAUUUACUCUAAAUUGUUCAGUUAUCACUUAAUGCAAAAUACACACAAAUGUUAAAAUUUUAGUACUUAACAAUUUGGUACUUUAACAAAUUCAUAUAUCAUAUUUCAGAUUUCAAUUUUCAGUUUUAUUACAUGUACCAUUAGUAUUAUUGCACUUACUCUAAUAGGGUUAAUUCUACUUUGCACCCUUUAACUCUACUAAAAUUGCUACUUUGGUCCUUCAAUUGUAAAAUGAGAUACUUUAGUCCCUAAGUUAUAAAUUUUAUCCCAUUUAAUUAAGAUCAUCGAGGAAAUGGAAUAGAUUUUAGACUUAUGUAGAUAUACUUUAGGGACUAAAAUAGAAAUAAUUUUAUAUUUUAAGAACUAAAGCAGUGGAUAGGGUAUUAUUUGAAAUAUUAUUUGGAAUAAUUACUGUAGCACUUUUUGUGAUGUGAUGUAUGUGAGAUAAAAAGGUAAUUGGGAAGAUAAAAAGUUGUAUUGAAAAUUGUAAUGGUGAUAUCAGCAAAUAUAUUUGGCCAAAUAGUCUACUGUCCAAACAAACCCAUUAUUUAGGGAUUAAAGUGGAACAAACUCUAUAGUUUAAAGACUAAAGUAUCCCAAUUUUAAGUUUAGGGACCAAAGUAGAGAUUGGGUACAAAAUUGUGUUGCAUCAAAAGCAACUAGUAUAUGUAUCAUGCUAUAAUCGUAAGUUUUAAGUUUUUAUUUUUAUCAUUAGGACGUGUUAACACAAAAAGUCAUACGGAGAAAGAUAUUUAAGUUUAUGAACCAACAAACACGACGAGCCGAAGAAACAAAAUUUGAGGAAAAUUAACCAUUGCUUAGAAUAUGGUUAAUUUUGAGAAGUUUGUGGGGAAAAUUGUGUAAUACAUAAUAAUGCCUGUCGCAAAAAGUGCUAUCGUUUCAUAGUUUUAUUUGAAAAAGGGGACGGCUCCAUAGUUUAAGUUAGGGGUGGCAAUUUUCGACACGAUCUGAAAACACGACACGAAUCUAACACGAAAUUAAUGGGUUUGGGUUGAGGUUUCGGGAAUUCGGGUCAGAAUCGGGUUGGACCCGAUGAACCCGAAAAGAAAACAGGUAGAUUUCGGGUCAACCCGUGGUGACCUGAUAUGACCCGUUUACGAAUUAAAAAUAAUUUAAUAAACAUAAAAAUAAGUUUAUCUAACUAAACUAAGUUAUUCUUUUUUUCAAAGGCAUUAAUUACUUAAUCCUAAAUGAAUUUAUUUAAUUUGUGUGAAGUUAAAAUUAUUAUAUUUGGACAAAUAAUAUAUUAUAUUAUUUUUUACUUUUAUAUUGUUUUAAUUUAUUUUAUAUUUUGUUUGGGAUAAAACACUUUUACGGUGUUUAAUUUAUUUUAGAUUUGGUUUGGAAUUAUUUAUUUAAAUUUUUAUUACUUGAUUAUGUAAUUAGUUUUGUGAGAAAUUGAUGUUAUUAGAAAUUACAGUGAUAAAUUAAUAAAUUAAAAUUAAGUUUCGGGUCAUUUCGGGUCGACCCGCCAACCCGUCAAUCUGAAAUUUUCGGGUUCGGCCCAACAGAUUUUCUGACGGUUGACUCGAACCCGACCCGCCAACCUGAUUUAGACCCGAAUUGCCACCCCUAGUUUAAGUGAAGAGCCCGGUGAGAGUAUUGAAAGUCGCGGAGCAAAAGAGUGGCUUGUAUUUGUUGUUCUUGAGACUUGAUUUAAUUAAAUUAUUGAGUUUUGUUUGGGUGUUUAUCUCUUUCCCUAUUUUCACAUAUUUUUUAAACCAUGUUAAUAUAUAUUUCCAUUUUUUGACAAAAAAAAAAUAUAUAUAUAUAUAUAUUUCCAUUAUAGUUUUUCUUUUGCCAACAGGAUGAAAGCUCAAUUUAUCAUUACAGUUAGGAUUGAAAAAUGAAUCGAGCCAUUUGAUACUCGAAUCAAACUGUUCGAUAGUCAAGUUAUACUCGACUAAGUAAGAACUUGUUCGAAUUUAGUUCAUCAAUUAGUUAAAUCAAAAUUAAACGGGAUUUAGCUAGUCGACUAGUCAAGUUAACAUUGAACGAUACUUUAUGUUUGAUGACAUUCAAAUUUAAUAAAAAAUUCAUUCAAACUUGAUUCGAUAAAUAAACAAACUAAAUUUAAAUAAAAUUUUAAAUUUAUUAAAAUAAUUAAAUAAAUUUGGACACUAAUAUGUUCAGAUUAAUUAGCAUCGUUUGCAUCCUAGUUACUGUCUGAUUCACCGCUUUACUUUCUUGUUUCUGUUUUUUGACUUUUUCUUUUCCAUUUUCCCAUACGGAAAGCUGGAGAAAGGAAAAAAGGAGUAAAGGACAAAAUGACACGGACACUGGAUUGAAGCCAUUUGGUGCGAUUGGUUUCCUUCCCGCUGCCUCAGAAUCUUCCAAGAAGAUGUGUUGUCCCGCUGACAUACAAUUGACGAAUAUUAAACGGUCUAUCAAAUUGGGCCGGCUGUCCAAUUUCACACGAACCAGACAGUUAAUUGACGGAAACUUAUGCCGUCGUCAUCGGCCCAGUCAGAGCUCAAGAGGCGUGCGGUGGACUUUGACUUUUUUGUUUCAAUCAACGCGUCUUUUACUUCCAUUUCAACAAAACUCGUAUCAUUACUCCCAACAUUUAACCCCUCCGCAACUGGAAAGCGCUUUAUGGAACUAACGAUUUGUUUAAUACUUUCCAACGCAUAAUCUGACGAGCUCCUCUCGUAACGUCAGUUAAUCAAUAACGUCUACUAACGCAAUUCCUUAAUAGUCUCUUUGUCUUCUUCAAAAACUUAAUCCGCCAAAAAAAAAAAGAGAAAACGUUGUUAUUAACUUCCUUCUCUUCCACAUUUUCUUCUCCAUUUGAACAAACACAAGUUACAACAACGUUGGAGAUUUGUUGUAGGUUCUCUUGUUGCUCUUGUUGUUGCUGCAAAGGUUAAGGCCUUCGAAAAAAUGGUUCUGAUGAAAGAGUUGUAUCCUUUUUUUCCCUCAUGAGAGCCAUUCAAAUAGAGUUCGGUUUAUUUGAGAAUUUUGUCGACAGGGCUUGCGAAAUUUUUACAUCAUCUUUCUUGCUUUACUUUCCCUUUUGGAUGCCGGGUAUACUUUCCCUUUUGCGUUACUUUCCCUUUCGGCUGUUGAUUUUUUUUUUUUUUGUUUUGCUAGUUCAUUUCCUUUUUUGUUAGAUUGGAAUUUGGGCUUUUGGAAAUAGUUUUACUCUUAUCGAUAUUCAUUAAAGUUCUUUAAGUUUUAUAUUUAUGGUAUCCUUAUAAAAUCGGUUAUCACAUAUUUAUAUCCCAUCUGCAGUUUUUUUUUUUUUUGGGCUAAGAAAAUGUGCAUGGAUAAAUCUUUGUUAAUAAGCUUAAAUAUAUGAAAAGGGCCUGAUGCCUCCGAUUUUCCCAAACCAUACUGUUUCUGUUCGUUUUGCCCGUUUUUGCGCAUAUUCCUUGACCAGAGAUUUUGUUGACUGGGGGCUUCUUUGAAGUCGAGUUGUCAUGCCUUUGACAUUGGAAGAGGUAAGCUUAUCAUGGAUGAGCUUCUGAAACUUUUUGACAAGUCUGGUAAUUCUUGAAAAUUAGCACUAAUUGCUUUGUUUUGAUGGGCUUAAUAAAUUGCAGUAUCAGAUAGCUCAGAUGUACAUGGUCAUGAAAAUGCAGCAGGAGAACACCGCGGGAACUGAAGGGGUGGAGGUUUUGGAAAAUAGGCCUUUUGAAGAUGAUGAAUUUGGAAAGGGUCAAUACACAUUGAAGUUGUAUAGGCUACAGAGGUAACUUGGUGCAGAAUAAUGGUCUUUAAUUUGAACAUACUUGUUACAUUUGAUUUGUACAAGAAAGAAGAUGCACUAUACUGCUAGGUGAUUUCUUUUCAUGGAAUGUCUUAUCAGAGGGAAUCAACCACAUAAGUGGUUCGAACAUCAUACAUUUUCUGCUUUGGUCCAAUUGAUGAGUACUUGAUAAGAUUUCUUCUACAUCGCUGCUAAUCGGUAAAUGUUGCGUUGGCUAGUUCAUCUUCAGAAGCAUUAGGUUUUAGGCCUCCAUAUUCAUCUGCAACUCUUUCUCGAGUCUUGUUUAGAUACUAUAUUCAUUCAUGGUUGAUGCUAGUGCUCUGUGAGGCAUUGCUAACUUUUUCAUUGAAAUGGCACUCUUGCUUUUCGUAGAAUAGGCGUUCUACUUUGUAUCGUUACUUUCUACAUCAAAUUCCAUCUAGUAAGAUGUGUGGUUAUGUCAGCAUCUAUUUCUAGAAUGUAAUCUUUCCUGUACUGCUGCAUUCACUUCUGUUUGCAGCAAAGCUCCUUUAUGGUUGACAACCUUUGCACCAGCUGAUGCCCUUGUGAUGCAAGAGGAAGCUUGGAAUUCUUACCCCAGAUGCAAAUCAGGUUAAAUUAUAAAAAACUUUCCUUGCAUUUGUUACUGCAGUACUUAGUCACAAUUGUUGAUUCUUUUCAAUUAUGGGAUUAAUUGUUUUUUCUAAACUUACUUUGAUGUUUCCACUGUUUGCCAUCUGAAAUUUGGCAUCGUGUUGCACAGUCAUUCAGGUAACUAGACUUUAACCUUGGAACAAGUUUUAUUCUGUCCGUGUCCUUGUGGAAUGUUUAAUAUUGAACUACUCUUUGAUAUGUUAUUUUGCAGUGCCCAUAUUUUACAAAGUUCCGUCUAACUAUUGAAACUAUUCACAAGGCUGAUAACGGACAAUCUGAAAAUGUAAGGUCUAAGUUUCUUUUAACUUCUUUUUUUCACCUUGAUCAGGUCAUUUGACCAGUGGAUAACAUAACCCAUACAUGAUCUGCGUGAAGAAAAAUUCAAACUGUAUUCUUGUUAAUAUUAACUUGACAACUUACAUUUUGCCUGCGAACUCCUGUACAUGUGCUUCCCAAACUUCAUUAAUGGUAUUUUGACAAUAUAGGUGCAUGGUUUAAGCAAAAAUGAACUAGCAGCCAGAGAGGUAGAAGUACUUGACAUUGCUUCAACAGCUAGUGAUUAUUGGAGUUACAUUAUUGGAAGGAACAAUAUUGAUUUCUCUACAUUCCAAUCAGCAAGGACAGGCCGGGGUCCACUUCUAGAGGGUUGGCAGGUUGUUUUAUCUACUUCUUUAUUUGUAUGCAUUGAUACAUAAUUCAGUCAAAAGUAUAUUCAUUAGCAUAUUUUAGGAUAAACGUAUCAACAAACUUAUUUUUUAGGUUCAACCUCUUCGACUGAGAAACAUGGCCUAGUUCUUAUCAAACAGGAUUGGAGAGCUUAGUAAUAUGAAGUGGCUUAAGACGAAAUGUGCUUGCACUCAAGUAUUUUGUGUAUGGAUACAUAAAAACGCUUUUGAGGGACUAAAUGGCAUAGCUCGUCUGCAUGGACCCUUUUUUGAUCCUUAAGCCGAGUAAUAAUAUCUAUUUAUCUUAUGAACUGACCUUCUUUUUUAUGAUGCCAGAAUAGCUGUGAUCCAGUUAUGACAGCAUACAAAUUGGUGACAAUUGACGCUCCAUAUUGGGGCUUUGGUAGCAGACUCGAGCAAGCUUUGAUGGCGGUAUACAUUUCAACUCUAGACAAUCUCAAGUCAUUGAAAUUCAAAUUGGUUGUAUACUGGAUCCUUAGGAUUCUAUUGAUAAUGAUUAUUAAAAUUUACCCCUUACGCCAGUGCUAGGACCUCAGGUUAGAUGGCAUUGUCACUUUUAUUCAAAGAGUAAAAGCUACUAAAUGAUAUUCACAUGAUGGACCUUUUAUAAACUUGAAUUAGUUGUGUUAGCAACUUUUGUGAAAACAUUCUAUUACUUAACUGAAGAAACCAAAUAGCACCAGAAGAUACAGCCCUAAAACAAAGAGGGCUUGCCUGCCAUAUCCAAAUACAAUCUAAGAGCCUGCAUUGAGGGUAUAAUGUUGAAUUUUAUAGAUAAGAUUCCUGAUGCUCAAAUCUAUCCAAACCCUAAACUGCACACCUGUUAUAUAACUGAACAGUGAAAAAUUAGUUUAUUAUUCAUAUACUGAUACAAACCACUCAUAGUUUGGAAGAAUUUACUGUUCUUAUACUAGCGCAGUUUUGUGGCAACAUGUUCUCAUUUUGUCCUGAUUGCCUUGAUGGUUUAAGAACUUUCCAUCCUUCUGAAUUUUAGUAUUCUUUUGAUUGUUUUCCUUCAUACUUCAAAUUGUCCUUCUUUCUGAGUUGGGUUUUGAUUUGGUUGUGCCUUUUAUAUGAGGUUGGAGCAAUGAUUGCUAAAUGAGGAAACACUGUAACAUAUUGGAUUUUACAGCAGCAGGAAAAAAAAAAAUGCUAGUUAAAAAGGGGAAAGCUUCCAACCAUUAGCAAAUGUUGAUUUACUCUGCACUACCAUAGUUGCCUUGUAUCCUUUACUUCUUUCCCUCCCAUAAAUUUAUUCUUUCCUUCGGCAAUCAUUCAGUAUUUCAGUUGAGGUGAUCCAAAGUGCCGUCUUGGACUCUCUCUUUUGCUGACCUUUGUCCACCCCUGAUGCAGUAUGAGAUCCCAUCAGUCGCUAGGGAAUUAAGGAUUUACAGUACCAAAUGCACCAACCUCUUUUUGUUGUUUGAUGACAAUGCUACUUGUGUUGGUCUCUGUUGUGCAUUAGAUUGCAGUAUAUACUUGGCUUUACAGGAUUUCAUCUCUACAGGGUGAAAGGGCACUUUUCCUUGAAAGUCAUCGGAAUUCUUUUGCUUGGAUUGAUGAAUGGUUUGGACUGACAGUGGAGGUGAUGCGUGAGCUAGAGCAACAAAGUGACACCUCACUUAACGAGGUAAGGAAAUACAGGACCCAGAUUUUGGUAGGAAAUUUACUCUCGAUUGAUAUACCUUAGGUUAGAUUAUUAUAGCACAAUUAUUUCUGCUGUAAUGGUCAUGACAUUAUUGUUUUUCCAAAUCAGAAAUUUGGUCGGCAGUGUUUGGUCGAAAGCUAGGAGAGUAACACAAUGAAGUGUCCUCUCUUGAUAUGAUCGAGGUGCUACGCCCUAAUUUCGCCAGUUGAGCACCAUGCUAAAUCCGUGGUAAAUAGAAGAUGGAAAGGAUGAUGCAUCGGAUGGUGCAGAAAAUUGGAAGAUGGCAGUCGUCGCGUUUUAAGUUGAGGAAUCCAUGAUGGGUCCCAGUUUUUCCUCGAAUUUAUGAUGGGAUUCUAUUGAACUUUUUUUUCUUUUUUUGGUAGAAGCAUGUACAUUUGAAACUUGUAUAAAGAACUGUAAUCUGAUUACGGUUAAAAAUUGAUGUAGAAGGUGGAGAUUGGUGCAAAAGCAUUAAUAAGAAAAAUGUUCUUUAUUUUAAUAUGGUGGAAUAUUUUUUUCACCUGCAUCUGCAUGGCGUUGCGAGCGGACUAUUGAAUUUAGUUGGAUAAUUACUCAUAACUUGUAUCAUCGACACAUUUUGUAACCAUGUCUUCAUUUCAUAUGUAUCGCAUAAAAGAUGUAUUAUCCCCAAGUGUGUAUGGUUUGGAAGGUCAAUAGAGGCAGCUAGCCCAUUCUCAACCUGGUCAGCCCUCUUAUAUUUGGGCCGAAACCUCACAUGCUCGGCUGAUUUCGCCUGAUGAAUUACGGAUAAGGUUAGCCCAUUAAGCAUGAGCCUCAACGAGACCCCAGCCCAUGUUUUAAUCGGCAGCGAAACAAAAAGAAAAUUAAAUUUGAAGAAAUCAAGGAUUUUGUAGGAGAUUUUGCAGUGUCUUUUGAGCAUCUUUACUUCGAGUGAAUAUCAGCGUUAGGUGUUUAAGUUUAAAGUGUUUUGGGCUCUAAGAUUACAGUAACUUUAAAGUAUUUUGAAUUGAAGAAACGAAUAUUAAUUUGUUUCUAUAUAAAGAAACACCCAAAAAAAAAAAGAAAAAGAAAAAGAAAAAGCGGGCCACCACUCUGGUUUGAACUCACUUCACAUUUGGCCUUUCAUGACUCCUGAUGAAUGCUAUUAUAUAAUUUAUGGAUUUUUUGCCCAAUUUUCUUGUCAUUAUUUUAAUGUACCCAAUGCUUCUGUAACACGUAGGUCCUUCUAGGUAGUAGUAUUUGCGAAGAGAAGCUGGGUAACGACGAGUCGUCGUGGAUGUAAAUUAGCAUGGUGUGGAUUUCGUCGCGUACCGGCAUACAUCAUCCAUCUCUGGUGCAUUCCGAGUAUGCCAUGAUUGUUUUGUCUGAUGACAGUGGUACGUAGAUAUAGAGAGGACUCCUAGGUUUGCUUGGCAGAGAUUUGGAUCAGUAGUUGUGUUUUUUCUAGGUUUGCUUGGCAGAGAUUUGGAUCAGUAGUUGUGUUUUUUGCAGUAUCUGACGACAAUCUGCUGAGCUAGCUCACGUGUCUUUGGUUUCUAGUUGAAGAUUCAUUUCUGCAAAUUGCCAGUCUCUCUUGUUCUUGUUCUCUAGAAAACAUUGAAACUGGAGGCUGGGGACAGGUUGGCCCAAGUGUUAACGUAGGACAGAAAAAAAAUGCAUGGAAAAUUUGGAAGAGGAAUCAAAUCAUGUUGCGUCGUACAAGUAAAAUUGAAGCUUCAAGGCUCUUCAUGCUGUCACAUACACGUCCAAAUGCUUCUUUGGUUCUAAAGCUUAAAUCCUGUUAGCCAUGCUUUAAUUUUAUCAGACGCAUCCUAAGAUAACCAUGUAUUAUUGAUUGUGUAAUUCUAUAAUUCAAUACAUUUCCAGCAUCUGUUUCGAUGAAUUUGUGCCGUCACCAUAAUAUUCAAGCCUCUCUCAUCAAUUCAAUCGCCAACUUAGCAGUUGUCAAUGUAAUUCAUUUUACACCUUCAUUUAUUUAUUUGUUUUAGGUAGAAAAUUCAGAUUCCUCCUCCAAAGCAAAAAAACAAAAAAAAAAAUCCCCAAUAAUUAAUACUCCGAGCGCUUGGGGAGACGAUGACCUUUGCUAUGAUCUGCAUAUCCCAAAAAAACCGGCUCACCUUCCCCUCAGGAUGCGUCGGUGGUGCCCUCGCAGAAAACGAAGCAAUUUAACAGGGCAAACACCCGACCCGAAGCACUCUUGCCCAUUUUACUUUCUUAUAUAAGUUGCCUCGAGUAAGAUGCAUUAAAGAUUCUCCUCUCUUUUCUUAUUUGUUUAUAGUUUGGAGACCACAGAAGAAAUCUGGUGAUGGCUCGUGGUCUUAGUGCUUAAAUUUCAUAUCAGCAUAUUAUAGGCAGUCAACUAUUCAUCCCUGAGGAAGCUAAUCAUUCAACCCUCUCAACCAGCGACCCAAACUUAUAAUAAUACUAGAGUACUGUUCUUCCAAUCUUCAGAAACAAAUUCCGAAAACACGACUUUGAGAAGAACAAUAAAAUAUACACGCAUCUACAGUCAACCUUACCAUCCAAUAUCAUAUUUAGUACAAAUCUUUUCACCUAAAUAGGGAUUGUGAACGAGCAAACUCAGAAGAUAGAUACCAAAUUUGCUUCGCAUUGAGCUUGUCUCAAAAAUGUAUCCUGGUGGGCUGUACCUUCUCCAUUCGGGUUUCACCGUAAGGUUCAUCGUUGUCCAUCCGCUUGUCGUGCCUAAAUGCUGCA